rnacentral:tRNA from 2 species
GGUGAGGUGCGAGAGUGGUUUAAUCGACGCGCUUGGAGAGCGCGCAUGGCCGCAAGGUCAUCGAGGGUUCGAAUCCCUCCCUCACCGCCG